rnacentral:lncRNA from 1 species
AGUCACCUAGGAGGAUUUCAUUUCCCUUUGCUAUGAGCUACCAAUGUGACCUCAACCAGAUUACAGAAUCCCUGACAUUUUAACCAUAUGCUCUCACAAGCUGUGUGCAUGGCUCUGCCGCAUCCUUGCUUCUCCUUCAUGGCUCUGCUCAGAGACCUUCAUCAAGAAUCAUCUCCACUCUACUUGCCCUGGUGAACUUUGGAAUCAUGUCAUCAAGUUCCCCUCAAAACCGGUGUGCUAAAUUGAGAACUUGGAAUGAGGUCGUUCAUGGAACCUCAGGGGGUGCAGAUGCCAGACUCAGCAGCAAUAGCAGGGGGUGCACAUUGCCAUGCCCUGCAAGCCCUAGUCCAUUCAGUAAGUGGCUCCAGCCCACUCUGCAUGGCCCUGGCCCCUGCUGUGGGAGGCAGGUGAUCCCAUCCAGCCAGAUCAUCUCUGUUAUCCUCAUGACUCCUGGGGCCACAGCUAGUGCAGGAGUUUUGCGGUAUUGAUGAUACAAGAAACACAUGCCUUUUAAGAAAGGAGGAAGAACUUCAGUUGCACAUCAUUUUCCAAGUGAGUACUGGAUGUUGUGGAUUUUGGGUUCCACAAUAGGACUGCAUAUUCUUUGACAGUUUUCUGACACUGUCCCAUCCUGUUGAAUGUGGAUGGGUUUGUGACUACUUCACCAAGAGAGUAGGGCACAAGAGAUUCUGUGUGACUUCUGAGGCUAGAUCAAGGGAGCCAAGCAGCUUCUGCCUGGUUUUCUGGAAUUCUCACCCCUGGAACCCUGAGCCUCUGUGUGGUAAGUGUGACUACCUUAUGGUGCUGUAAUGGAGAGGUCACAUUUAGGUACCCUGAGCCCACCUUCUACACCUUUGAGAUAAAUCUAGCCAAGCCAUUUGUAACAAGUCCAUGCAUUCCAGUCUUUCUGGCUGGAUACCUAGACCUUGUAGAGUAGGUUUGAACCAUCCCUCAUCUGCCCAACCCAGAUUUCUGACCCACUAAAUCUGAGAGAAUAAUAAAAUGAUGUUCUGUGCCA